rnacentral:rRNA from 1 species
UAGGGAAUUUUCGUUCAAUGGGGGCGAACCCUGAACGAGCAAUGCCGCGUGAGCGAAGAAGGUCUUCGGAUUGUUAAAGCUCUGUUGCCGGGGAAAAAGGAAGGAAAGAGGAAAUGCUUUUCUUUGGAUGGUACCCGGCCAGAAAGUCACGGCUAACUACGUGCC